AAAUCACAUAUUUUUGACGACCGGUCUGGCCUAGUGGGUAGUGACCCUGCCUAUGAAGCCGAUGGUCCUGGGUUCGAAUCCCGGUAAGGGCAUUUAUUUGUGUGCUGAUCACAGAUAUUUGUUCCUGAGUCAUGGAUUAUAUAUCGUUGUCUGAGUACCCACAACACAAGCUUUUUUGAGCUUACCGUGGGACUUAGUCAAUUUGUGUAAGAAUGUCGCUAUAAUAUU